GUGCUCGCUUUGGCAGCAUAUAUACUAAAACUGGAAUGAUACAGAGAAGAUUAGCAUGGCCCCUGUGCAAGGAUGACACACAAAUUUGUGAAGUGUUCCAUAUUAAA
ensembl:snRNA U6 U6 spliceosomal RNA